GUGCUCACUUCCACAGCACAUAUACUAAAAUAGGAACCAUACAGAGAUUAGAAUGGCCCCUGUGCAAGGAUGACAUGCAAAUUCCUGAAGCGUUCCAUAUUUUU
ensembl:snRNA U6 U6 spliceosomal RNA